GCAGCUGCACUUCCUCUUCCGGCUGAACAGCGCGCCUGCUCCUGCCGACGUGUUCUUCCGGUGGCUGAGCGGCGGAUUACCCUGUGUCCGGCAAAAUGGAGCUUGAGGCCAUGAGCAGAUACACCAGUCCAGUGAACCCGGCUGUCUUUCCGCAUCUGACUGUGGUGCUGUUGGCCAUUGGCAUGUUCUUCACCGCCUGGUUCUUCGUUUACGAGGUCACCUCCACCAAAUACACUCGGGAUAUCUACAAAGAGCUCCUCAUCUCUUUGGUGGCCUCGCUCUUCAUGGGCUUUGGAGUGCUCUUCCUGCUGCUCUGGGUCGGCAUCUACGUGUGAGCUCCCACGGGAAAGCCUCCCCAAUCAUCUCCGCACCUCAGUCCGGAUUCUGUGCCCUCCCCAGUCGCCAAGCUGCCUGUGUGUCCCCUCAGAGCCUCACCACACUGCUGUUUUCGUGUCUGUGAGCCCCUGGGGGCAGGACACAUCCAUCUCCAUCACCCCUGGUGCCCUGUACGGAGCCAGUCACAGAGAAGGGGCCCAGGAAACGGCUGCCUGCCACAAAACCCAUCAAAUGGAAGUUGAUGAGGAAGCCCAGUACCUAGAGCAGAGGUGCCUGGUUGAAGCCAGGAAGGUUCUCGGCCUCCCCUUCAACCUCCAAGGCAGCCCUGGGGAUACUUCAGAGAAACCCGGUUUGAAAACAAAGGGCUCUCUAGCUUUGUCAAAACCAAAGGUAUGAGAUUUGGAAAACUGGGGGGACUCUGAACAGUAACCUUCUUGCCCUGGCGUGGUGACAUAAAAGGAGCCACGUGGACUUGGGAUCAAAUUCCACCCCUGCCGCUAACAGGCUGUAUGACCCUGGGCAAGUCACUUCACCCAAGUUUCCAUUUCCUCAUGUGAACAAUGGGGACGAUUCCUUUCUCGCAGGACUGUUGUGAAGAUUAAAUGAUGCGAUGGAUAUAACGCUAUAUAAUCAGCCUGGCCUGACUCCUGGGACUUAGUAAUGCUCAGCAAACGUCUGUCGACUGACAAUUCUGCACCCAGGUAUUCUGGUGAUGGGCUGAAAUGGGCCCUGGCCAGUGAGCCUUGCCAGG